ACCCCAUUUUUCUUGCAACCAAACGGAACAUAACGGUCUGAAGUGUGGAGACUGGACCACGGAGUGUUAUCUGCUCCAUUGGUCCACGAAGAAUGUGAAGAAGACGACCUAACCCAACUGCAAAUCCAGUGAGUCCGUGACCAGCUUCCACUCAACUCGGGUGACAGGUAAUGGCCGAAUGGCACAUACACACUAUUGCUCCUUCGUUCCCUCUCCUUCUAUCUGUUGUGUUGAGUUCGCAUCUGUCUCUCGCGCCUUUCUCUUCUUCUUCUCCUCUCUCUCUCUCUCCCACCGUGUAUCUGCAACUGGCCAACGACCACCUUCUGACCAGAGGUGGCUCUUGAAAGCUUGUGUUGAACCACCUCCUUUGGUAGCUGGUGGAGCUGGAAUUGCAGUGAAAGACAACACUGCCACCCAACCUUACAAAAUAUGAGUGAGAAUACUAAAUGAGCAACGAAGGAUGCAGUGUGCCAAUUCCAAGCUUCUUGAUACCCUUGGACUACUUGAAGUUGAUACGGGCUUUAGCAAAUGAAAACCAUGUUAGAUCUUCAGUUAUUCAUAAGAUGUCAUUGUUUGUCACGGAACAUUUUAGUCGUCAGACAUUCCAAUCUUAACCUUGUAAUGUUUUAAAAAUUCUUCAACAAAAUUCAGUUUUUCAUUUAUCAGAAGAGAGACCCCUUGCUAGUUGUUUACUUGUGUCUGAUAUUUCUGAUCAAGUCUAAUUAUCUGUGACUCUUUAAACUGAUUUCCAUUAUCUAGGUGAAUUUAGUUGGAUUGCUUUUCGAUUCUGCUUCCUUUAGGGUGUUUUGCUAUCGCUUCUUUGGCUUGCUCAUUUAUUUUCCGCCCUGCGCCGGGGGGGGGGUUAUCCAUAUAUGGCCCACCUAAUCCUCUUCAUGAAAGACCAUGCUUUGAUUGUGGUUCAUACCAUUUGGAAGCACUUCCUAUCACUGCAUAUAUGGAUGUUUCCUGUUAAGGUGGUGGGUUUGAUGUUGCAAAAACAGUCAGUUUGUUGGAUUUGUGAGGUGAAUUACUGGAAUUUUAGGAUCUGGGCUGUUGAUUUAACCAUUCAUCCAGCUUGAGAAACCGAGACCCUCCUUUUCACUCAAUUUUUGAAGUGAGAGUUCCAUGUUUUUGGGGUCCUGAGGUUUGGUGAGAUGGAAAGUCAUUUACUGAAACUCCCUUGGAGUGUGAGGACAUGUGGAGAUCCCUUCUCAGACUACCAAAUUUACCCUGCUAAGUGACUGAACAAGUUCUUGAUGGCCGUCUCCUGAAAUGGCAGAGGAAACCCAUUGGUACCACUAAUGAAUCAAAAGAGACAAGGUGGAAAAACUGGAAUAACCGGGGGAGGGAAUGAUUUGAUUAAUGUUCCAUCAGUGGGAAUUUGCUGCAGAAGCUCCAUACACCAGUCAUGAGCUGGCCUUAUUAAAGCCUGUUUAAAGGCAUUUGGUACAAGGAAGAUACUUUUCCAGCUCCCUUCUGCUUGAAGCCUAGCUGUCCCAAGGAGAACUGAUCAGAAAUCAGUUCUUUAGCAUAGAUGAGUGGAAAAUGAGGCCUUCUGACAUUAGGGAAAUUUUACAGGGACUGCUAGAAAAUUGUUGAUUUGUCAUUUUUGAGUUGAAUAGAGCAAUUUUGUGCGAACUCAAUUUAUGUAAUGUAUCAUGGAUGAUGUUAGCUACAUAGAAACUUGGGCGGUGUUCCUGUCCAUUGGGCCAAUGAGGGAGGAGAGCUAAUAACUUCCUUUUUGAUUGUUUGGAGUUUUUUCUACUUCCAUAUUCAUGCAAAGGAAGAUAAUACUGAAAUUUAUGAUUUGAUGCCAGGGUCCAUUUUUGUGUGGAAAAUUAAAAUUUCUCCUCUUUUAUAUUUUGUGUCAAAUUUUAUUUUUUCUGUUUGUGAGCUGAGCCUCGUACAUGUUAACCUCUAGCACAUGAUGUUACUGUUGGGACAAUAAUCUUACAUCGGUUACCCAUAAAGCCUUCCAUCGUCUCAUAUACCUGUGUGUCUUUCCACCCAAUGGUUCGAUCUAUCGGGUUAGAUAUUUACAUGGUAUCAAAAUCAGGUUUUGAUCCUGUUUCAUAUUGAUUAGAGCUUAAUUUAGUCUCUUUUUUUAGUGGACAUGUUGCUGUGGUUCUGUUGAAACGUUAAUCCAGGCCUUCUAUGAUCAAGUAGGGACUUUGUUAAAUUUGAGUUUUUUUUUUUUUUCUUGGGAAAACCAGGAAAAGUGAGUUUCUGGAAGAGGGUUAAUUCUAGUUGUAAAAAUGAAAGCAGAGACUGAUAGGCUCGACUGCUGGCAGCCCAUGAUAGAUAGUUUGUGGUCCUUGGACAGUGAGACAUCGAUAAGCUUAUCAAUCUGACUUCUACAGGCAUGGGAUGGAGCAGUGUUCUUGAACUAGCAGGGGUGCCAUUGCUGUUGACCAUUUAACAGUUCAAGCAACUCAUUUGUUGUGAGUGAAGGUCAACGGGAAUAUUAAAGCCACUGAACUUGGGCUUCAUAGGUUGAUAUCAGAAAAUAUACUCUUUGUAGGAUUCUGAUUAUGGGUGGCAUGGGGAGAGGCUUUGAGUAUCCAUAAUCCAUCCAUCAUCCAUGACGAUUGACUGAUUGAGGACCCUUACCAUGCCAUAUUUCAUCGGAUAAGGCAGGCAUAAUACAUAAAAAAAAGUAGGUGGUUUUGGAACUGGUCAACAUACAUUCCCUGACUGCAAGGUAGCCCCUAAGGCAAUCCCCAAGGUCUCUCUCUCUCUCUCUCUCUCUCAUUGUUUUAUGUAUAGGUAUCACUGCCCGUAUCGGUCACCUCUAAUACUGAGGAUAUCAAUACGUAUUAGUAUUGAUUGAUUCAAAUAAUACGAUAUCGAUAUCUUGAUCCAUGACAUUGACCAUGACGGCCAACCCACAUGAUUGACAAAGGGGAAGCCAUGGCUCCAUAAUCCAAUCCAUUAAUUUAAUCAGGGCAGGGCAUCUCUCUCUCUCUCUCUUACAUUGUCCUCUUGUCUCUUUGAACAUGGAAGGUGAAAUGUAAAUUAAAAAGGGUGACGUGAAGAACUCCAACAGCCAAACAAGAUUCUUAAACCAUUAUCACAAGAAACCUUGGUCGGCAAUUAUUUUCCUCUGAUUCCUUCUGUUUAUUAUUAAGAUUAUAAUAUGUUGUAGAGUGAAGCACUUAAACCAUAUACAGGUCAAAGGGAUUGAGUAUUUAAAAUCAGAACUUGGUAUCUGUAACAUGCCUUCCACCUUGUUUGUCCAGCACACGCGUGGCGCACAACAUGUAAGGUGGAGUCCUGUUUUGUGACUUGUGAUUGUGAUCUUCCAUUUAAUUGGGUCAUCAGGAAGUCAGAUGAUUCAUGAUUGUGAUGUUCUGAUAAUUUUUUUUUAUAAAGUUUCUUUCAAGCUGACUCUCCAAAAGGAUCAGAGGGAGGUUAAGAUUCUUAUGAUUCUAUAUAAAUAAGCUGAUAGAGAUUGUUGUUUCCUUCUUGUAAAAGAAGGAAGAUGUUCCAGAUUGAAGCUAAGGUUGCUUUCUGUUUUUUUUUUCCUAUAUAUAUAUAUUUAUUUUCCUGACGAUAAUCACCUAUUGACCAUAGCUCUAAAACUCGGAAUUGGGACCUGGAUAGGAAAACCCGGAUUUCCCAAAGAGGAUCCAUCAGUAUUUAAUUUAAAUGUGCCCCUUUCAGGCUUGAUCUAAUAUGCUUCUGAAAUUAUUUUUGGAACUGGGGUGUUGUGGGGAGGGAAUCCUUGAGCCCAACUGUUCUGAAAGCAGGAUGUCAUCCACCGAUGAAAUGGAAUGAGAUAUAAUUGAUGUGGCUUCUUUGAUGUCACGGUUGAUAUGAUCAAUAAGUGUAUUUGAAAGAAUACCUUUUCCUUUAAAUCUUCUGGAGUUGUGCUCAAGCCAGAUAUGCAUAGGAAUAAGAAUGAAGCAUGAAAGCCAAAUGCAAUUUAAUAGAACCAUUGCUGCCUUGGAUUUCCACCAAGUAAAUAAAUCUAUCAAAGAAAUAACUGACGGCCAAGAAAGCUUAUACAGGUCAAGAAAUGCUGCCAAACUUUUUUUUUUUUUUUUUAAGCAUUAAGAGUAUUCCAAGAGAAUGUGUAAAACAAAACCAAACAGAGAUUGAGAUGAUUAAUUAUGUAGUAAAUCUAAGUCAUUUAGCUUUAGAAUCAUUGUGACAGAAUCCUAUCUGCUUGUCUGUUGUUCAACUGUUCCAAGAGAAACAUUUAUCUUUGCCCUUAAUUAUGAGGCAUAUAUGCACUGGACAUGUUGCAGGGUUUUAAGAAUUAGGAAGAACCAUGUAAGUUCAACCUGGGUGGGUAGUGGGUAAAGAAUAUUAUCUGAUUAUAUUCUUAGCCUACAGAACCUCUUAGGGUAGAACAUAUGGAAUGGUGGCACUCCUAAAUCCUAGUACGAAGCACUCUCCUCAACCCAUCUGUUAUUUUUCAUUGCUAAUAACAAUUUUUGCAGAGGUCUGUAACCUGUAUUACUUUGAUCAAUUUCGUGGAUGUUGCAGAUCAAGGGAAAGUAAGAACUUUACUUUUGGCGAUAAAGGUAAAAAAGCAGAUGCAAACACUGUUGCAGUAAGGGUUGUUUGUUUCUUGGAGAUCCGAUAAUGAUAGGAACAUUAUCCAGGGAAUUGGGUUCUUCUGAGGAAUUUUACUCUUUUUUUACCCCUGUGAAAGAUGGGUGAAGGAAUUUUUUUUUUGCUAAAGGGUAGGUGAAGGAAAACCCAUGUGCAGAGAUUCCUGCUUCCACAAACUAUAGAUGUCUAUGUGCCAUGCCCCUCCUCCCUCUUUCCUCCUACUUUCCCUACUUUUUCUUUCCCCAUCGCAUCUCUCUCUCUGCUUUGUAUAAAACUCCUUUCCUAGAAAAUGGUUUGCCUUUUCAUAGUAAAAGCUGUUUCAUUCUGUGCAGCAAUGAGUCUAUCUCUCUCUCUCUCUCUCUCUCUCUGCGUUGAAUGGCCUACAUAAAGUAAGAGACACUAGUGGACUGCAGUGGACAUCAAUGAGUUCAGAAGAUCCUCUGCACUUGCUUGUUGCAGUUCACAGGAGCAGCAAAAUAGCAAUAACGAU